UGCCCUACGGGGCGCAGCAGUGAGGAAUAUUGGUCAAUGGACGGAAGUCUGAACCAGCCAUGCCGCGUGCAGGAAGACGGCUCUAUGAGUUGUAAACUGCUUUUGUACAAGGGUAAACCUGAAUACGUGUAUUCAGCUGAAAGUACUGUACGAAUAAGGAUCGGCUAACUCCGUGCCAGCAGCCGCGGUAAUACGGAGGGUGCGAGCGUUAAUCGGAAUUACUGGGCGUAAAGCGCUCGUAGGCGGUAUGUCAAGUCAAGGGUGAAAUCCCCGCGCUCAACGUGGGAACUGCCUUUGAAACUGGC
rnacentral:rRNA from 1 species